rnacentral:misc_RNA from 1 species
CCUUUACCUGAUCCAGGAGGACCUGCCAAUCACACAACUUAAGAUUACAAUAUGUAAAUAUGAAUUUCCUGCUAUAUAUCAGUAAAUUAUUGCUGUCAGCUGCAAGAACAAUAUGCAACAUACUAAAUGUUCCCUCAAGAUACCUGUGAUGAAUUUGAACCUAAGACUAAAACAAGGAAAUAAAUCAAUGUCACCCAAAGAUUAAAACUGCAAUUGCAGAAAUAGCAUAUUGAAGAACCUAAAGAGAAAAGACCCAAAAAAAAUCUAGGUUUGAGCCAUAAACCAAAUCCAAUUAUCCAAAGAUAUUGUCUAUAUAAAUUGCAAGAAAGAAAAAAUAAUCCUCUAUCCAAUUAUAAGGUAAUCAUCAAAUAAAGUUUAAUAAAAAAAAAGAUCCAACUUUUACAGCUUUGCACCGUUUUACUUUCUGCUUCCUAAUUCCUAAAACAUUCCUCUGGAAAUUGCAGCGUUAUACAGAAAUAUCCAAACAGCAUUUUGUCUAUAAUCAAAAUAAAAUAACAUGAACUGCACAAAACGGAGGCAGGCCUUCUUUAUCUUCAUUUAUCAUGAACCAAACCUAGAGUUAUGUGGAACUCAUUGAAAAAAAUAAAUCUAAACGCUUAAGAACACUAGAAAUCCCACUACAUAUGAGGGAAAAGUAAAGAUAAUUUUAUUUUUUCACGUUUGCACAUAACAAAAAUUUAAAAAACAAAAAGCCUACAUUUGACUAAAACACAAUCCUUCCUAUUUCCGGGAUUUAUCUCAGCAACCAAACAGAAGUCAGAAUCAAAUAACUAUCCACAACAACAACAGCAAAUUCUCGGAUCUGAAUGGACCGUUUAAUUUCACAGAAUAAUUCAAAUAGAGAGAGAGAGAAGAAACUUGAUAAUGGAAUGCAUGUUAUAUACACAAAAAUGUAUUGCAUAUGCCUAUAGAGAGAGAGAGAAAGACCGAUUAGAAUGAGGCGCUUGUCAGGCUUAGCGGAGCACUUCAUGCGACGGAGGAGCUCCGUCAUGAGAUUCACAGAGGGCACAUCUUCCAAGCUUGCGGCUGAGCUGCUGGCCAUUAACUUAAAAUUUUACUUGCAAGCAAAACGAAUAGCGUUUUCGGAACAAGCGGUAGGCCUGUGCGGGCAAAGGAGCGGAUGUUUGGUGGUGCUUUACUGCUUUUAGUUGUUCGU